rnacentral:rRNA from 1 species
AGUGAACGCUGGCGGUAGGCCUAACACAUGCAAGUCGAACGGCAGCACAGUAAGAGCUUGCUCUUACGGGUGGCGAGUGGCGGACGGGUGAGGAAUACAUCGGAAUCUACUUUUUCGUGGGGGAUAACGUAGGGAAACUUACGCUAAUACCGCAUACGACCUACGGGUGAAAGCAGGGGAUCUUCGGACCUUGCGCGAUUGAAUGAGCCGAUGUCGGAUUAGCUAGUUGGCGGGGUAAAGGCCCACCAAGGCGACGAUCCGUAGCUGGUCUGAGAGGAUGAUCAGCCAAAAUGGAAAUGGGAAACGGCCCAGACUCCUAAGGGAGGCAGCAGUGGGGAAUAUUGGACAAUGGGCGCAAGCCUGAUCCAGCCAUACCGCGUGGGUGAAGAAGGCCUUCGGGUUGUAAAGCCCUUUUGUUGGGAAAGAAAAGCAGCAGGUUAAUACCCCGCUGUUCUGACGGUACCCAAAGAAUAAGCACCGGCUAACUUCGUG